rnacentral:rRNA from 1 species
UGGGGAAUAUUGCACAAUGGGGGGAAACCCUGAUGCAGCGACGCCGCGUGAACGAAGAAGUAUUUCGGUAUGUAAAGUUCUAUCAGCAGGGAAGAUAAUGACGGUACCUGACUAAGAAGCACCGGCUAAAUACGUGCCAGCAGCCGCGGUAAUACGUAUGGUGCAAGCGUUAUCCGGAUUUACUGGGUGUAAAGGGAGCGCAGGCGGUGCGGCAAGUCUGAUGUGAAAUCCCGGGGCUCAACCCUGGAACUGCAUUGGAAACUGUCAGACUAGAGUGCCGGAGAGGUAAGUGGAAUUCCUAGUGUAGCGGUGAAAUGCGUAGAUAUUAGGAAGAACACCAGUGGCGAAGGCGGCUUACUGGACGGUAACUGACGCUGAGGCU